GGGAUCUUAGCUCAGCUGGGAGAGCAUCUGCCUUACAAGCAGAGGGUCACAGGUUCGAGCCCUGUAGGGCCCA
rnacentral:tRNA from 1 species